CCAUUUUCACUUAUUUAAUUCAUUUUGUCCCUUUUAAUUUAAUGAAAUUACUUCCCUUAUUCCAAAAAUUCCUAAUUUAUUCAUGAUUCAUAUUUUGAUAAUUACUUCAUUUUUUAUAUUUUUAGUUUUUAUUAUUGAAUUAUUUUAAUAUUUGUUUUUAAUUUUUAAUUUUAAUUAUGUUUAAUUAACCUAGUUUCAUUUGAUAGAUUUUAAUUUUGAUCUUCCCAUUGGAAUUUUGUCCCAAUAUUUUGUAAACAUAUUAGCCCAUGUAUAAAGGUCAUUUGAGUUUCCCUUUGUUGUUUUGCUUAUUAAUUUUGAAUAAUGUUUGAAUCUAUUUUUGAAGGUUGCU
rnacentral:lncRNA from 1 species